UACGUAGGGUGCGAGCGUUAAUCGGAAUUACUGGGCGUAAAGCGUGCGCAGGCGGUUUUGUAAGCCAGAUGUGAAAUCCCCGGGCUCAACCUGGGAAUGGCAUUUGGGACUGCAAGGCUGGAGUGUGGCAGAGGAGACUGGAAUUCCUGGUGUAGCAGUGAAAUGCGUAGAUAUCGGGAAGAACACCAGUGGCGAAGGCGACGCUCUGGGCUGUCACUGACGCUGAGAUGCGAAAGUGUGGGGAGCAAACGGG
rnacentral:rRNA from 1 species